CUCAAAUGAAAUUGACUAAAAUUUGUAUCUUCUAAUAUUUUUCAAACAUUAAAAAACUACAUCAACAAAAACAAACAAUGUAAGUAAAUCUGUUUUACUAUUGGAAGUAAAUAUAUUAUUAGUGACAUCCUGUAACCUAAUUAUUAAAUCAUAUAUAGCAAUCAGAAACUGGGAAACAAAAAUUGCCAUGCCACUUUUAUUAGUAUAAUAGCCCCAUGUUACUAUGGGGUUAUUUUCGAGUUCACCACAAUGCACAUAGAUUUGAAAUUUGGAAACAAUGAAAGCAAUUUUUUUUUUUUAAUUGCACAUAUAUUUUCAUUGUAAUCUGAAUUUUUGGUAUAUUCUAAAUUUUAAGGUACAAACAAUUCUCUGUCAUAAGUUUUCUUUGUUCCUCUAUUCCCUAAAUUGUGCCUGAAAAUCAUAGUGGAAGAGCUCUCAGCUGUAGCCUUGAAGCAAUUUUUUUUUUCAAGUGUCAAGGAAAAUAGAUCUAUUGUGGCACCUUUAAAAUGGAAAAUUAGUAUUCAAGAAAGAUCAAAAUAUUUUUUUUAUUUGUAAUUAUGAUUAUGAGAAAGAGUCUGUUGAAACUGCUACAUUCACUCUAAGUACAACAGAAAAGUAUUAAUUUAGUGAUCAAAGGUCAUGAAGUUCUGGAAGCCUUAUAAUCCCAGCUCAUUGCUGCCUCAUCUGGUUUUUUAGGAAAAUGCUUUCCCCAGUUGCUAAUCCCUGCAGCAGUCUGGGGACAGAAUGCUCAGGGCAGUGGGGAGCAGGACACAUUUAUGCAGAUUCGGAUGCUAAACUAGCUCAAGCUUCACAAAUCUCACCUGAUGUCUCCUCUGAGGGGGAUGAAGAUAAAAAUGGCAAAACUCGGGAAUCUUUUUGCUGUAACUACACUAAAAUCCAGUUCGCUUUAUUGGCAAAGUGAGUUUUUCGGAGAAACCGUAAAACUCCAUGAUGCCCUUUUUUUGACUUGUCCUGCAGCUGUACCAGGAACAUUCCUGCAAAAGCUAAAGUCUGUUCUAAAAUUUUUUCAUCAUGUGAACAAAAAUGAUUUGAUUUACAUAUUGUAGAGCUGAUAUUAAUGAAUAUCAGGCAUGUUGGACAGCAAGAAGAACUGCAAAGCCAAGAAAAUGUGUCAGCUUCUCAAAAUCACCCUUGGAACCUGAAUGGCAGACAGAGCUCAAUGUGAAUAAAAUCUUUAAUAUUUCAGGACUGAUCUCCUGA
rnacentral:lncRNA from 1 species